GUGAAUCAUCAAAUUUUUGAACGCAAAUUGCACUCCCUGGUAUUCCGGGGAGUAUGCCUGUCUUAUUGUCGUUAUAAUAAAAAAUCGAUUCUUCGCUCUUUUUUUUAAGGGUGAUCUCUUCUUAAUUGAUCCGUCUUUCCACUUUUAAUUCAUUUCAAAGUGGCUUGAAAUUCAUCCAUCCGGUACGAUUGACUCUUAUUUAAGAUCAAUUUUGAUUGAGAACUCGCUGUUACGUACCAUCUCAUGUAGUACUUUGUCCCUGGGUCAUCAUUGUCAGUCUUCUCAUAUACUCA
rnacentral:misc_RNA from 1 species